rnacentral:misc_RNA from 1 species
AAAAUGCUUUGUACUCCUACUAUGGAGUGCGAGAAAAAUGGUGGGCAUCAACUUUGAUAUGUUUGUUGUAGAUAGUAAUUUGAUGUGCAUGGAACUAUGGUGCAGACUUGCAGUUAUUGAAUCUAGACGAAUCCCUAACAAAUGGAUUAGUUAGAAAUCUUCAAACCAUAGAAUAAACCUGCAAUUUGAGAUCAAUACAAAGUCUCUCGUUAAUCUUAAAACCCUCAAACAAUCCUCAAAUCUUUUUUUUGCAAACCCCUUUCUUUAGAACCUUUAAGGAUAGAUUAGAGACCUUUUAACACAAGGACAAACCUUCUCUUAACACAUCAUCAUAGCUCUUACCAAAUGAUAUGAACUCUUGACAAUUAUCUCCUACUAAUCCUCAAACCUUCUAAUGGUCAAACAAUUUU